GAUGAACGCUGGCGGCGUGCCUAAUACAUGCAAGUAGAACGCUGAAGGAGUAGCUUUCUCUUCUGGAUGAGUUGCGAACGGGUGAGUAACUCGUAGGUAACCUGCCUGUUAGCGUGGGAUAACUAUUGGAAACGAUAGCUAAUACCGCAUGACAACAGCUAUUGCAUGAUAACUGUUUAAAAGUGGCAACUGCUCCACUACCAGAUGGACCUGCGUUGGAUUAGCUAGUUGUGGCGGUAACGGCUCACCAAGGCGACGAUACAUAGUCGACCUGAGAGGGGGAAUCGCAGCACUGCGAGGGAGACGCGAACCAGAGACCUAGGGAAGGCGGCAGUAGUGAAUCGGCGGGAAUGGUCGGAAGACUCACCGAGGGACGCCGCGUGAUGGAAGAAGGUUGUCGGGUCGUAAAGGACUGUUGUAAGGGAGAAAAGGGUGUGGGAGUGGAAAGAGCACAGAGUGACGGUAUCUUACAAGAAAGGGAGGGCUAACUACGUG
rnacentral:rRNA from 1 species